rnacentral:tRNA from 1 species
UCCUAGUUAGCUCAGUUGGUAAAGUGCUCCACUCGAUACGGAGAGGUCCUGGUUCGAUACCAGGACCAAGCG